UUCUCUGAGGCUACACCCUCCCCUUAAAUGGGUUUGUCACCCUGCAGGCAGAAGGCAUCGCCAGCUAUAGAAGAAAGGAACCGUGAUGUCCGAGCCUCAGAGAGGUCCCUGAAGGCAGCGCCGGCUGUACAAGAAAGGCGCUGAAAUGUCCGAUUCUCACAGAGAUCCCUGAAGGCAGCAGGCGGUGAUCGUUGAGCUCCCGGGAGACUCCAUGGAGAGGGAAUAGGACUUGAGAGCGGAUCAUGGCGGCGCCUCUCGGCCGGGACACCUUACCUGAACACUGGUCUUACGGUGUGUGUACAGACGGCAGGGUUUUCUUCAUCAGCGAUGAGUCCCGGAACACCACCUGGCUCCAUCCCCGCUCCGGUGAACCGGUAAACUCCGGACACAUGAUCCGCUCAGACUUACCCCGAGGAUGGGAGGAGGGCUUCACGGACGAAGGAGCCAGUUACUUCAUAAAUCAUAACCAGAAGACCACCACGUUUCGCCAUCCUGUGACGGGACAGAUUUCUCCAGAGAACAUGGACUUUAUCCUGCAGGAACAGCCGCAGGGUGCAUCCAUAAUGUCCAAACCUGAGCAGCUGUCCAGCACCACUGUCAGCGAGGCGUCCACGGCCAUCACAUCGUCCACUGUGGACACCACCACGGCCUCCAAGAGGAAUAUGGAACUUGGCCCCCUCAUUGAGCUCUGCCUGAAGGGCUACACUUUUAUCAGCUCGCCCAGACUCUCAGGCCACGGUGGAGGACUUGCUGUGGUGUUCAGGAGCCACUUCAUAUGUCGCUUGGGCUCGCGGUCCAGCGGGAGGUUGCACAGCUUUGGGAAGAGAGAACAGGCCAUUAAAAGGAACCCUAACGUCCCGGUGGUGGUCCGAGGAUGGCUUUACAAACAGGACAGCUCUGGGAUGCGUCUCUGGAAGAGGAAGUGGUUCGUCCUGGCUGAUUUCUGUCUGUUUUAUUACAAAGACAGCAGAGAGGAGUCAGUCCUCGGCAGUAUUCCUCUGCCCAGCUAUGUCAUUUCAGCCGUGGGACCAGAGGACCACAUCAGCCGAAAGUUUGCCUUCAAGGCUAGCCACACUGGUAUGCGCUCAUACAUUUACAAGCAGAGCUCUGUGAUUGGCUCGCAGGCGGAGCACAGCGGGAUGAGGACGUAUUACUUCAGUGCCGACACCCAGGAGGACAUGAACACCUGGUUGAGGGCCAUGAACCAGGCCACACUGAUGGAGAAUCACACGCACACGCUCAUCAGACCAUCUGAUAAGUUGGAGACAUUCAACAUGUUGCAGCAGCAGGCCGUCCCUCAGUCCAACCACAUCAAUCACCACAAGACCUCCGACUGCGACACCAUGAAGCCCAUCAUCCACGAGGUCCUCCUGGAGCCCAUCCACCACGACACAGACGAACGCUGCAGCUUCCACAAAGACUCUCCUGCCACCGCCACGCUGGAGCGCCCUAUAGGCAGUACCACCCUGGAAAUGGACACACACACGUCCCUCCCCUCCAACCCUGCAUCCUCCGCCCUCCCGCAGUUAGACCACGUGUCGGCCUCAGCGCCCGUAUCCAGGGUUCCCUCCCGGGCACCAUCACGAGCUGCCUCCACUCUCCCCUCCAGCGUCUGUACAAGGAACGGCCUCAUGUCCACGCCCAGCCCCAUCCUUGAGCCCAAUGGCAUUGCAGCAGGGACGUACCAGAGGGCGCCGGCCCCACCCCCUGCUGACACACACAAACAGGUGCACAGGAGAAGCGCUCUGGAGCAGGUGGAGCAGUGGGUCAAAGUGCAGAAGACAGAGCACAAAGGCCCGUCAUCCAGAGAGAACACUCUCCCUAGACGCACGCCACCGACCCAGCACAAGUUCACCUCUGUAGAUGCAUAUCAGACCUUGCCAAAGACUCCUCGCCAGAGCCCCACGCCUGCCCGACUUGGCGAGUACAAGUACGCCCAGGACCGCCUCAGCCACUUCCGCCUCACCCCCGACCCGGGGCCCAACACCGUGUGGCAACUGUACGAGUGGCAGCAGCGCCACCAGUUCCGUCACGGCAGCCCCACGGCGCCGCUGUACACUCCGGCCCCGGACUACCCAUUUGGCCCCCGCCCCCAGUCCACCGUGCCUCCCUCCUCGUCAUUAACCCGGUCUGAAGGAGCGUCCCGCUGUGUGUCAGUCCCACCUUCAGCUGCAGACAUCCCUCCACCCGGGCCUCCACCCGGCAGCAGCAGAACCCUGUCGCCCACACGGAGGCCGCACACGCCAGCGGAAAGGGUGACCGUCAGGCCGGUGGGUGAUAGGUCAGUGAUGGACAUGCCCUUCACCAUGUCCCCCCGCAGGACCAAGUCUCAGCUGCUCAAGGCUGCUACUAUCGAGAGACGGUCGAUGCCUGCAUCUGGUUACAUCACACACACAGUCAGUGCUCCCAGCCUCCACGGGAAAACGGCUGAUGACACCUACAUGCAGCUGAAGAAGGACCUGGAGUACCUGGACCUGAAGGUCGCAGGAAGUCAGACGCUGAAGGAUUCAGGGAAACCUGUCAAGGUGGCAGAAAGUGAUGUGGACGUGAAACUAAGUCGGCUGUGUGAGCAGGACAAGAUCCUCAAAGAUCUGGAGGCCAGGAUCAGCUCCCUGAAGGAGGACAAGGACAAGUUGGAGAGUGUCUUGGACGUGUCCCACCAGCAGAUGGAGCAGUACCAGGAGCAGCCGGCCCACGUCCACAAGAUCGCCUACCAACAGAGACUGCUGCAGGAGGACCUGGUCACCAUCAGGGCCCAGAUAUCCCGUCUGUCCACGGAGAUGGCUCAGGCGUGGCAGGAGUACACCCAGCUGGAGAGAUCAGUGGAGCAGUUGAGGACGGCGCUGCAGGCACACAUGAACCACAGCGCCACCCCUCAGCAGGAGAAGGCAGAGAUGAAGCGUGAGCUGUGGAGGAUCGAGGACGUGAUGGGAGGACUGAGCGCCAGCAAAGCCAACUACAAGAUCACCAUCGACUCUGUCCAGAACCCAGAGAGGAAACUAGUGCCUUCAGUGUCGGAGCUGGCAGUGCCUUGUCUCAGCACAGAGGUGCAGCCUCCUCCUCGCAGCUCCGUCCCCAGCACCCUGUCCCAGACGCUGCCUCACAGCUCCGUGCCAAACUGGGCCGAGGACACCGCCCCACCCAGGCCACCACUGCCUCGCCUCUAUGACUACGAGGAGACGCCCCCAGUGGUGCCGCCUCUCCCUAAAGAGGCCUCGGUCAUCCGCCACACAUCAGUACGUGGGCUGAAACGCCAAUCAGAUGAGAGGAAGAGGGACAGGGAGAGCGGACAGUAUGUCCUCAACGGAGACUGUAAGACUGACCUGCGUUCAUACCUGAGUGAACCGGAGCUGCCGGGACUGAGUCACCACAGCAUCACGACUGAUGCUGAGUAUCAGUAUUUCCAGAGUAAAGGACCGACGUCUCGACUGAACCAGUCCAACUCCAUCGCGUCCUACGUCACCCUGAGACGAGGCCCCGGGAGCUCUGCCCCCAAGGAGAGACCUAAGAGUGCCUUGGAGCGCCUGUCGUCUCCUACGGAAGCCCCGCAGCUCCCGAGCAUCCAGCCUCGAGGACGGAUGACGGCUGAGGAGCAGCUGGAGCGGAUGAAGCGCCACCAGAAGGCACUCGUUCGCGAGCGCAAGAGGAACCUCAGCCAGGGCGAACGCUCGUGCACAGGCCUGUCCACCUCCACCAUCAGCACCCAACGCUCCUCGUCCUCCUCCAGGCUGCCCUCCAGCACCUCUGACGCACCGGCCUCCGUACGUUACCCCCCACCCCCGCGCAGCAGCAGCAGACACAGGGAGCACCACCUUCACCACUGCUGCUACGCCCCCCUCCAGCCCCCAGCCACAUAAUAACUCAGCAGGAAGGCUAACACGUUAGCUCGCUCUGCCUUGUUGACGUUAGCACUAACAUGCUAGAUGGGCAGGGCUUACAGUGGCUGGGUGGUUAGGUUGGUUCAUGCUUUAAGAAUAAUGAGAGAGCACAGGGAACAGAUACUCGGCUCAUGUUGGACAGACGCUCCUCCUUUAUUUAAUAUUAUUAAAGGUUCAAAGUGAACCUGGUUACCACAUGCUGCCCCCUGGUGGGACCUCACUGACACAAUUGUGAAUGUAACGCCACUGAGAGGAAGAGGAGACGAUGUCUCAGCAGGAAGUAGACAGAAGAGCCCAUCUCUGUACAUCACACACCUUUAUUUAUUUACCGUCGGAUAUUUUCAGAACACAGUUGUACAGGUAUAUUUUGUAGAGAAUUUAGAGGAGCAAAGGAACGGCGAGAAGUGAUAGAGUCGAGUAUUCAGGUUGAUGAGAUGAAGAAAGAGGUGACACAUGUGGCACAAAUCACGAUCACACCUCCCUGCUUUCUUUUCUUCAUGUCUAAUCCAAGUGCCUUGUUUUACUGCCUUUGUCCCAAAUUUACCUCCUUAAUCAACAUUUGAAUUAAUGAGUGUGAAACAGAGUCUCCACCUCAGAGACAAUGAAGGUUGGUUCUCUUUGUGACAUCAGAGCUCAGUCAGGACGAUGUGCAGACUCUGCUGGUCUGAGGGAACACUUUGACAUUCACACUGGAUCCAGUUUGUACUUCCUGGUGUCGUCUGGGUUCAGUGAGGAAUGCUAACAAUGCUAACAACACUCUAAAAUGUCAAAGUCUUCCUUUAAGAUAACGAGACAGUAAUAAUGACCUGAUUGGUGGAUUGAUUACAGACUAACACAUUGUAACCAGACUGCUGUGAGAGCUGCCUGUAAUCUGACUACAUUUCCCACAAGUCCCUAUAACAGUGAGCAAUACACAGUCUGUGAUCCUCUGGUACGUCUUCAGACCAGAGCAUCUUUAUUUCCUCUGCUCCACCAGCAUCAGACAUGUUUACACUGAUUUAGAUAUCAUCAUCAUCAUCAUCAUCAUCAUUAAUCAGCCUUUCUCCUGUUCAGUUUAUUUUAUCCUCUGACAGAGGUUCAUCACCACAUUACCAUGGUUACAGUGAGGAGAGUCUGUACUCUAUCAGAGUACAGUUGAAGUGGCCUACGCUGAGCUGUUUUAUGCAUCAUUGAUAUAUAGGACAGGUUCAGGCUUCGCGGCCCAGAUGCAAUAAAAACAAUGAGGUUGAACGUGGAGCGACGGCAUCAUCACCGAAAAUCUGUUCGACAGGUCAAAGCUCCAGUGUGGAGGAUUUAACUAUCAUCAGAGUGUUUUUUUAAUCAGCCUAAAUAAGAAUUGAUUGAGUCGUUUAUAUCGACACAGGGAGCAGGUCCUUGUCUACGAGGUCACCAUGUUGCACCGCCAUGUUUCUACAGUAGCCCAGAACGGACAAACUAAACACUGACACUGAGGUUUCUACCGUUUUUUUCCCUGUUAAAGGUUUUUUGGGGUGUUUUUCCUGAUCAGCUGUGAGGGUCGUAAGGACAGAGGGAUGUCGUAUGCUGUAAAGCCCUGUGAGGCAAAUUGUGAUUUGUGAUAUUGAGCUUUAUAAAUAAAAUUGACUGAUUGAUUGAUUGAGAUAGAGACAUUCAUGUGUUCAUGUCAGACACUGUAGUUGGCAUCAACUCUGCAAAGAGCAACGUCAGAGAAACACAGAUUUAUUUAACCAUCUUUAUUCAUUUAGAUAAAUCAGCUGCUCUGUUUGUUCCGUUUCAUAGACGUUUCACCUCUCACCGUCCACAGUUCAUCUGAAGACUAACACUGAUUUAUAACCUGACCCUGUGUGUUCAGAGUGUUUCCUGGUGUCAAUCAGCUGGUGUCUUUGUUUCUGAAAGAAAGAGACCUCUGGAUAAUUCAGCUCCUCAACAAUCAACACUGAAGGAAUUCUAACCAGGAGAAGUUUCAGAUGGUUGUAAUCUGUAAUCUGUAAUCCUCACUGAUAGACGGUACUGAAUCCUCCACACUGCUCCUUAAAGAGAUUUAUUCUGAUCAUUGUUUCAUCAGCAUCUCUGAAGACAAUGAAAAAUAAUAAACACUUUCUCCAAGUUUCCUUCUUUAUAUGAGUGAGUUUAUCAGACCAACAGUUCAGAGCCUGGUGUUGUUACAGUGUCUCCAACAGUUCAGAGCCUGGUGUAGGUACAGUGUCUCCAACAGUUCAGAGCCUGGUGUUGUUACAGUGUCUCCAACAGUUCAGAGCCUGGUGUAGGUACAGUGUCUCCAACAGUUCAGAGCCUGGUGUUGUUACAGUGUCUCCAACAGUUCAGAGCCUGAUGUAGGUACAGUGUCUCCAACAGUUCAGAGCCUGGUGUAGGUACGGUGUCUCCAACAGUUCAGAGCCUGGUGUUGUUACAGUGUCUCCAACAGUUCAGAGCCUGGUGUUGUUACGGUGUCUCCAACAGUUCAGAGCCUGGUGUUGUUACAGUGUCUCCAACAGUUCAGAGCCUGGUGUAGGUACAGUGUCUCCAACAGUUCAGAGCCUGGUGUUGUUACGGUGUCUCCAACAGUUCAGAGCCUGGUGUAGGUACGGUGUCUCCAACAGUUCAGAGCCUGGUGUUGUUACGGUGUCUCCAACAGUUCAGAGCCUGGUGUAGGUACGGUGUCUCCAACAGUUCAGAGCCUGAUGUAGGUACAGUGUCUCCAACAGUUCAGAGCCUGGUGUUGUUACGGUGUCUCCAACAGUUCAGAGCCUGGUGUAGGUACGGUGUCUCCAACAGUUCAGAGCCUGGUGUAGGUACAGUGUCUCCAACAGUUCAGAGCCUGGUGUUGUUACAGUGUCUCCAACAGUUCAGAGCCUGGUGUAGGUACGGUGUCUCCAACAGUUCAGAGCCUGGUGUUGUUACAGUGUCUCCAACAGUUCAGAGCCUGAUGUAGGUACAGUGUCUCCAACAGUUCAGAGCCUGAUGUAGGUACGGUGUCUCCAACAGUUCAGAGCCUGGUGUUGUUACGGUGUCUCCAACAGUUCAGAGCCUGGUGUAGGUACGGUGUCUCCAACAGUUCAGAGCCUGGUGUUGUUACGGUGUCUCCAACAGUUCAGAGCCUGGUGUAGGUACAGUGUCUCCAACAGUUCAGAGCCUGGUGUUGGUACGGUGUCUCCAACAGUUCAGAGCCUGGUGUUGUUACAGUGUCUCCAACAGUUCAGAGCCUGGUGUUGUUACGGUGUCUCCAACAGUUCAGAGCCUGGUGUAGGUACAGUGUCUCCAACAGUUCAGAGCCUGGUGUUGGUACAGUGUCUCCAACAGUUCAGAGCCUGGUGUUGUUACAGUGUCUCGGUGGUGCCGCUGUCCGCUCCUCGUUUGUCUCUCACACAUUAACGUUGAAGCUCUUCUGCAUCAUUGCUUUAAUCCCUCUCAGCUCAGUACGAUAUAUAUCAGCUCACAGAGACAGUAGAAUCAGCAGGUGAAGAGUAGAACACAGUAGAGACCUUAGAGAGGUGACCCGAUUAUCACCAUCUAAUCACCUGUGGUAGAAAGAAGCAAUGCACAAACUCUGUCCUCCAUUUUCUUUUCUAUCAUGUAGAAGUUUGCACUGGACAAUAAAGAGUUUCUGGCUUUUCAACUUCCUGUGGGCUGUGUCCUUCCUAAUCUGUCUCCUCUGGGUCUGUCUGUCCCCUCUGUGUCAAUCUGUCUCCUCGGGGUCUGUCUGUCCCCUCUGUGUCCAUCUGUCUCCUCGGGGUCUGUCUGUCCCCUCUGGGUCUGUCUAUCCCAUCUGGGUCUGUCUGUGUGUCUGUCUGUUUCCUCUGGGUCUGUCUGUGUGUCUGUCCUCUCUGGGUCUGUCUGUCCCCUCUGGGUCUGUCCGUCUGUCUGUCUGUGUGUCUGUCCUCUCUGGGUCUGUCUGUCCCCUCUGGGUCUGUCCGUCUGUCCGUCUGUCUGUCUGUCUGUCUGUGUGUCUGUCCUCUCUGGGUCUGUCUGUCUGUCUGUCCUCUCUGGGUCUGUCUGUCUGUCUGUCUGUCCUCUCUGGGUCUGUCUGUCCCCUCUGCGUCUGUCUGUCUGUCUGUCCUGAGCACUACAUGGGGACGUUUCCUCUCAGAUCAGAGCUGCACGCUGCUGGAGCGGGGAGGAUGCAUGGCUUUGAUGCUCCUGGAUGAUUACUCACAAGUACCCCUCACCGCGCACACACACACACACACACACACACACACACAUAUAAAAGUGCCGAGGCCUCAUCCUGAUGCUCGUCCUGUUACAGAAUCAGUUUGUGUUUGCGGUCUCAUGUCGACCUCCUAACUUAUCUUAUUUAACUGUAACUAUAGUUUGAUUCCUCCGUCUGCAGGUGUCCUGUCAUGUGGGGGUGACAGGUGAGCGACUGUAUCUGUAUGUUUAACAGUACGACACCAGACAUGAACGGGCCGUCACAUCAACACGUGUCCUGCCUGUCAUCAUGGACAGAACCAACAGGAGGAGUUGGAGACAGUCAUGGUGUCAGUGGAGGUCGUCAGUCAAAAUUAACAUUAAUUAUUACUGUAAUUACAAGGCCUCACUGAUAGCUGUGACCGGCGCCAUUCUGUCUUCAGGUCGUCCGUACGUCUGUCUGUCCCAGUCUCAUGAACGUCAUACAGGACGGUCCAACAGUAAAAAUACUGAUUACAUCAGACACUUGAACUGAUACUCAUUUUUUUGAUGAUUAAAAUCCGUUCAGUGACUGAUGAACGAGGGAGCAAUGAACUGAUGACACUUUGGUGUUCAAAGGUCAAAGGUCACUGUGACCUCAAAAAACAUGUUCUUGGCCAUAAGUCAAGAAUCCACACAUUAAUUAUGACAACGUUUAUAAAAACUGUAGUGGACUGGACUCACUGCAGACACAUCACAGAUUAUAUACUGUAGACAUAAUAUAUCUGUUAUAGACACUCAGUAAAGCAGACAGACCACAGUGGAGACCACAGCACCACUGUCAGUGCUGGUUUUUACAUUUCACCAUAAACUCACAGAGAGACGAUCACUGCUCUCCUCUGUCCGUCCGGUCACGGCUCCACACAGGUCUGUCAGAUUAUUAAAGAACAUAAACACGUCGUUGAUCUGUAAAGUGAUUAUUUUCAUUAUCUCUUUAUCUGCAGCUCAUUUCUCAGUUAAUCUCUGUGCUGUGUAGAAAUGUUUCCGCCCGAUUCCUUAUUUUCUCUGAUCCACAGUCCGACACUCAAACAUGUUCACAUGUUCAGUUUACUAUCACAGAAGACAACCAGCAAAUUCUUAGGUUUAAGAUGCCGAAGCAGUAAAUUCUUUACAAUUUUAUUGAUUAUCAGCAUUGUUGCAAAUUUAAUAUGAGUUGAAUAACUGAUUAAUAAACUAAUAAUUUAGUCUUUGAAAAACAUACGUCAUGUAAAACUCUUCAGCUCCUUGUAUGCUCCUGAUCUAACGUUAACACUCCAAAAUAUGUAAACUGUCAGACUGAGCCUGGGUUGGAUCAGAAAGAAACUCUGUGUCGAUAAUUUCAGUAACUCCUUUAAUUUUCCUAAUAAUAAAGACACAACACCUUUUACCCACACGUGUCCAGAAUAAUUAAUAAUUAUUUGACCUUUAAAGGCUCAGAUCUGAAACUGUUAACAGCUGAUCUGUUAGUCACUGUCAGCUGCGUAACUCUGAGUCCUGCUGCUGUUUCCAGGUGUUUGAUUGGCAGGAGGAGCGAGCCGCUGCAGAGGGUCAGAGCGACGAAGGGUGGAGUCACGCCAAAGAGAGACGAAGGAUCCAAUCAG